rnacentral:rRNA from 1 species
ACGCUGGCGGCGUGCUUAACACAUGCAAGUCGAGCGAAGUUAUUCCUUCGGGAAUAACUUAGCGGCGGACGGGUGAGUAACACGUGGGUAACCUGCCUCAUAGAGGGGGAUAGCCUUCCGAAAGGAAGAUUAAUACCCCAUAACAUAGCAUUAUCGCAUGAUAAAGUUAUUAAAGGAGUAAUCCGCUAUGAGAUGGACCCGCGGCGCAUUAGCUAGUUGGUGAGGUAACGGCUCACCAAGGCCACGAUGCGUAGCCGACCUGAGAGGGUGAUCGGCCACAUUGGGACUGAGACACGGCCCAGACUCCUACGGGAGGCAGCAGUGGGGAAUAUUGCACAAUGGGCGAAAGCCUGAUGCAGCAACGCCGCGUGAGUGAUGAAGGCCUUCGGGUCGUAAAGCUCUGUCUUCGGGGACGAUAAUGACGGUACCCGAGGAGGAAGCCACGGCUAACUACGUGCCAGCAGCCGCGGUAAUACGUAGGUGGCAAGCGUUGUCCGGAUUUACUGGGCGUAAAGGGAGCGUAGGCGGAUACUUAAGUGGGAUGUGAAAUACCCGGGCUCAACCCGGGUGCUGCAUUCCAAACUGGGUAUCUAGAGUGUGGGAGAGGAA